rnacentral:rRNA from 1 species
UCGGGAAUUUUGGGCAAUGGGCGAAAGCCUGACCCAGCAACGCCGCGUGAAGGAUGAAGUAUUUCGGUAUGUAAACUUCGAAAGAAUAGGAAGAAUAAAUGACGGUACUAUUUAUAAGGUCCGGCUAACUACGUGCCAGCAGCCGCGGUAAUACGUAGGGACCAAGCGUUGUUCGGAUUUACUGGGCGUAAAGGGCGCGUAGGCGGCUUGACAAGUCACUUGUGAAAUCUCUGGGCUUAACCCAGAACGGUCAACUGAUACUGUCACACUAGAGUACAGAAGGGGCAAUCGGAAUUCUUGGUGUAGCGGUGAAAUGCGUAGAUAUCAAGAGGAACACCUGAGGCGAAGGCGGGUUGCUGGGCUGAUACUGACGCUGAGGCGCGAAAGCUAGGGUAGCAAACGGGAUUAGAUACCCGAGUAGUCCCUGAGCGGGCUGGCAAGGCGCAU